rnacentral:rRNA from 1 species
AUGUUUGUCUUCAAAUUACCAAAAGGAGUAUGCAAGUCAAUUACCAAUAAGAUAGCCGGUUUUUGGUGGGGAGACGGGAAACAAAAGAAGAAGACGCAUUGGUUUGUGUGGUGGAAAAUGUGCAUUUUGAAAAAGAAGGGUGGUAUGGGGUUUAGGGACCUUCACAUCUUGAAUCUUGCUAUUUUAGAAAAGCAGUGUUGGUGACUUCUUCAGAAUCUUGAAUCUUUAUGUGCGCGAGUUUUGAGUGCUAACUAUUAUCGAGAUGGUGACAUAGUAAAAGCAGGGACGAAGAAGGGUUCUUCAUACACAUGGCAAAGCAUUGUUCCAGAUAUCUAG